rnacentral:rRNA from 1 species
AACCGACACAGGUGGUCAGGUAGAGAAUACCAAGGCGCUUGAGAGAACUCGGGUGAAGGAACUAGGCAAAAUGGUGCCGUAACUUCGGGAGAAGGCACGCUGACACGUAGGUGAAGUGAUUUACUCAUGGAGCUGAAGUCAGUCGAAGAUACCAGCUGGCUGCAACUGUUUAUUAAAAACACAGCACUGUGCAAACACGAAAGUGGACGUAUACGGUGUGACGCAUGCCCGGU